CCUACGGGUGGCAGCAGUGAGGAAUAUUGGUCAAUGGGCGGAAGCCUGAACCAGCCAAGUAGCGUGCGGGAUGAAGGCCCUACGGGUCGUAAACCGCUUUUGCACGGGGAUAACACCCUCCACUUGUGGCGGUCUGCAGGUACCGUGCGAAUAAGGGCCGGCUAAUUCCGUGCCAACAGCCGCGGUAAUACGGAAGGCCCGAGCGUUAUCCGGAUUCCUUGGGCUUAAAGGGAGCGUAGGCGGGAGUUCAAGUCAGCGGGAAAAUCGCGGGGCGCAACCGCGCCCCGCAGUUGAAACUGGACGCCUUGAGUUCACAACAGGCAGGCGGAAUUCGUGGUGUAGCGGUGAAAUGCAUAGAUAUCACGAAGAACCCCGAUUGCGAAGGCAGCCUGCCGGGGUGCGACUGACGCUGAGGCUCGAAGGUGCGGGUAUCAAACAGGAUUAGAUACCCUAGUAGUC
rnacentral:rRNA from 1 species